UUCUGUUGGUUCAUCCAGUGUGCUAAUGAUGAAGGUUGAUCCCAACGUUUAAGGUGGUCAUCCUUCCAUACAAAUGGAUCAGCGGCUCUGACAAUAUCUACAGGCAGAUCUGUGUUCUUGUGCGGUCCAUACCAUUUCCCAUGGUUUUCAACAUCUUUCAAGUCACAAAUGCUGCACUGGAAAACCCUUCCUUUCUUCUCUGCCUUGGAAAUAUCCAUGGUUUUCUGUAAAUUUUACAGAUAGUAAAGGACGAGGAAUGGUCCAUGGUAUUUCAACAGUAGUUUCCUGCUUUCCAUGUCAAGUUGGGGCUGCUCAUGUAACAUCAAAACAAGAUCUCCUGGACUAUACAGCAGAACAUCUGACUGAUAUGGGAGGUGUGUCAUUCUGACAAUCAUCAUCAAAAACAGUUUCAUAAAGAAAUUCAUCAGCUAUUCCAAGGACAGCGUCUUGUCUAAUUCGUUUCUCGUCGCAAGUUGGGUUAAGUAUUCGUAUAGGUAUUGAUGUACUCUUGGCUGUAUCCACUAAAGUACUUGCCAUCAAUAACUCAUAUCUUGAACUGAAAUUUUCAUUCGGUUCUAUAAUAAACUCUGUAGGUUCAGAGAUGACAUCCUCUCUCUCAACAAAGGCCUGUAUGAUUUUUUCACUAUAAGGCGGAAUAGUAUAGUCAUCUGCAGCAGUAACUCUUCUACAUUUAUUAUUGGACUCUAUUUGAAUGCAGGGUAUAUCUACCCCUUGUAAUUUCAAAAUUCCUUGACUAAGGAUGAUAUCUGCAGCGACACCUUGUUUAUUUUGUAAGACAUCCACACCCAAAAGACAUUCGUCAUCUAUAUUAGCUACAAUAAUGUUCUGGCGUAUAACAAGAUCUCCAAAGGUCAGAGUAAAUUCUGCUUCGCCGAAGGAAUUCAAAUUCAUACCGCAAGCAUUUAUAACACCAGUAGUAUGUUCAAGUUCAGGUCUAUUCUUCAUUUGUUUGUAGAUUUUAUUAGACAUAAUACUUCUUGAAGCUCCAGUAUCGAUUGUAAAAACAACAGAGACAUCAUCUAUUUUGCCUUUGACAUAAAUUCCAGGACAUGUUUCAAAAUUUCUUUUAACAUCAUAAGUAUAUGUAUCUUUACAAAUGUCAUUUCUUUUCUUUUCAGGUAGGUCUUCUUUUGGAGCUUGUCCUUGGAUCGUCUCUUGACCUACAGUUACGAUCCCCUGAAGUUUAAAUUUCCAGGUUGCUGAGAUACCGUUCCAGGCUGAAUGUUUGGCUGAGAUCUGGACAUGUGGGAAGGAUUUCUGUAGUACUGUUGAAUUUUGGUUGGGCAGUCACGCGCAAAAUGUCCAACAUUCUUACAGUUGUAACAAAUAGUGUUCUGGCUUGGAGUUGACUUGGGCCUCUGUUGAAAACCAGUUGAGGAACAUCUACUCAUUUCAGCAAUCAUCUUCUCUAGAUUUUGUAUUUGUUCUUUCA